UUAGGUGGUGCAGUAUUCUAGUCAGCAAAGUUCUUUUCGAAGACGGGGCUAAAAAUCCGUUAAAGGGCAUAUCGAUGAAGUUUCUGGUGUCGGCUGCUGACGCCCAGUCGGGGGUCGAUGCUGGGAGUAAGAACUAUGGGCAGCCGUCAAUGGCAUGGCGGUGACCGACCCAUUUUUCGUGGAGGCAUGACGGCUUUGCGUCAUGAAAACCUGUAUGGUGGUACAAAAUCUGCCUACAGUGUAGCCUGCCUUGAGUGGGGAUGGUGGAUCACGGAACAACGUUCGGCAACCAAAGGCUCACGGAAACCGAUGCGAUCGCCGUGUGAAACCAUCGCUGCAAAAGAGGCUAGGAGAGAACCGAGGCUGCCGAGGAAAGCUCCUAGACUGUCGUUUGUGGAUAUGACAGAGAUUACAGUGUGGACUCAGUGGUAAUUCGGUCUCACGUUUCGGAAACGGCGUGGCACCUGUUUUAAAGGGAAACCGCUUCUAUGGCGACAGGAAGUAACGGGCGGGGAAAUCCUACCGAACCUAAGCCGCAAGGUUUAUUUGUCGUAUCACCACCUUUCUUU
rnacentral:sRNA from 1 species